CGCGGCCAUUGCUCACGUGCAGUUCUCCACCUGUUAGGAGCCACAGACGGACACUGCAGUUUAUUUCUUUGACAGAGGAUUGUGUAUGGUGUUGUGUGCGUCCUAUGAGAAAGAAACCACACAAACACACCCACAAACAUCCAUAAGUGCCCAGAUCAAGUGUAGUUCACCACUAAGCCAACUGCCUAGUUGCUAAGAAGAUAUAACUGCCCUUCAGUGUGCAAUACACCACCAUUGGACUGCUGUGCACUCUGCCUUAACAAGCUCAGAUCCUCAUAAAUACGAUGCUCCAGUACAUACAAGCAAAUGCACUUCAAAGCACCCUCUCAUUGGCCUGGAUGUUGAUGUACACUGGAUUUUAAGUCAUAUAGCCUUUAGUGGACGCUUCAAGCUGCUCUGCCCAAUACUGUCAGUAUUUGCUGCUGCCUUAGAGCUCACUCCUCAUCUUGCUCUUUAUUACUGAUUGAUAGCUGUACAGGCUGGCUCCCCCCAUUUUGUGGAUGUUCUGCAGUUUGUAAUAAAUCCUGUUAAACUUGA